UACGGAGGGAGCUAGCGUUGUUCGGAAUUACUGGGCGUAAAGCGCACGUAGGCGGCUUUGUAAGUUAGAGGUGAAAGCCCGGGGCUCAACUCCGGAACUGCCUUUAAGACUGCAUCGCUUGAAUCCAGGAGAGGUGAGUGGAAUUCCGAGUGUAGAGGUGAAAAUUCGUAGAUAUUCGGAAGAACACCAGUGGCGAAGGCGGCUCACUGGACUGGUAUUGACGCUGAGGUGCGAAAGCGUGGGGAGCAAACAGG
rnacentral:rRNA from 1 species